rnacentral:rRNA from 1 species
CGUAGGGAGAACCUGCGGAAGGAUCAUUACCGAGUGCGGGUCCUUUGGGCCCAACCUCCCAUCCGUGUCUAUUAUACCCUGUUGCUUCGGGCCGCCCGCAGCUUGUCCCGCCGCCGGGGGGUCGCCUAUGCCCCCCGGGCCCGUGCCCGCCGGAGACCGCAACACGAACACUGUCUGAAAGCGUGCAGUCUUGAGUUGAUUGAAUGCAAUCAGUUAAAACUUUCAACAAUGGAUCUCUUGGUUCCGGCAUCGAUGAAGAACGCAGCGAAAUGCGAUAACUAAUGUGAAUUGCAGAAUUCAGUGAAUCAUCGAGUCUUUGAACGCACAUUGCGCCCCCUGGUAUCCCGGGGGGCAUGCAUGUCAGAGCGUCAUUGCUGCCCUCAAGCCCGGCUUGUGUGUUGGGUCGCCGUCCCCCUCUCCGGGGGGACGUGCCCGAUAGGCAGCGGCGGCACCGCGUCCGAUCCUCGAGCGUAUGGCGCUUUGUCACAUGCUCUGUAGGAUUGGCCGGCGCCUGCCGACGUUUUCCAACCAUUCUUUCCAGGUUGAGCUCGGAUCAGGUAGGGAUACCCGCUGAACUUAAGCAAUCAAUAAGCGGAGUA